AGAGUUUGAUCAUGGCUCAGGACUAACGCUGGCGGCGUGCCUAACACAUGCAAGUCGAACGAGGUAGCAAUACCUAGUGGCAGACGGGUGAGUAACACGUAGUCAACCUACCUCUUAGUGGGGGAUAACUAGCCGAAAGGUUAGCUAAUACCGCAUACGCUCGUCGGGCGGCAUCGCCUGACGAUGAAAGCAGUAAUGCG
rnacentral:rRNA from 1 species